rnacentral:rRNA from 1 species
AUUGAACGCUGGCGGCAGGCUUAACACAUGCAAGUCGAGCGGAGAUGAGGUGCUUGCACCUUAUCUUAGCGGCGGACGGGUGAGUAAUGCUUAGGAAUCUGCCUAUUAGUGGGGGACAACAUUCCGAAAGGAAUGCUAAUACCGCAUACGCCCUACGGGGGAAAGCAGGGGAUCUUCGGACCUUGCGCUAAUAGAUGAGCCUAAGUCGGAUUAGCUAGUUGGUGGGGUAAAGGCCUACCAAGGCGACGAUCUGUAGCGGGUCUGAGAGGAUGGUCCGCCACACUGGGACUGAGACACGGCCCAGACUCCUACGGGAGGCAGCAGUGGGGAAUAUUGGACAAUGGGGGGAACCCUGAUCCAGCCAUGCCGCGUGUGUGAAGAAGGCCUUAUGGUUGUAAAGCACUUUAAGCGAGGAGGAGGCUACUGAGACUAAUACUUUUGGAUAGUGGACGUUACUCGCAGAAUAAGCACCGGCUAACUCUGUGCCAGCCGCCGCGGUAAUAC